rnacentral:rRNA from 1 species
AUGGACGCACGGAUGAGGCUGAUAAUUCAGGCAGCAUCACUGAUUAGUGUGAUUCAGGCAUGGGUCACGUUCAUGCACCAGAGAGUUGCUUGUCGUGCUGGGAGACCUUUGAUCUGCUAUGGUCCAUUGUUUAUCCGGGAACAGGAGAGGUCCAAAAAUCUGAACUACAUCUACAACUGCAAUGACGUCAAGGCUCUGUGGAUGCUUCAAAUGAAAAGAGCACCAUUUGCCAGGCUUGUCGAGACCUUCAGGAGCAGGGGGCUGCUACAAGAUAACAUCAACACCAGUGUGGAAGAGAAAGUGGCCAUGUUCCUCCAUGUUGUUGGCCAUAACCAGAGGUUCAGGGUCAUUCACAACACGUUCAGGAGAUCAAUGGAGACCAUCUCUAGGUACUUCAAGCAGGUGCUUUUUGCUGUUGGGGAGCUUAGAGGAGAGAUGAUCAGGAGACCAUCUGGCCAGACUCCACCCAAGAUUCGUGGAAGCCCAAGAUGGUAUCCAUACUUCAAGGUGAGCAUUGACAAUCACUACAAAAAAAAGACACAUCCGUGA